rnacentral:rRNA from 1 species
AUUGAACGCUGGCGGCAGGCCUAACACAUGCAAGUCGAGCGAGCGGCGGACGGGUGAGUAAUGUAUGGGGACUGCCCGAUAGAGGGGGAUAACUACUGGAAACGGUGGCUAAUACCGCAUACUAUCGGAUAACCCAUAUGGGAUUAGCUAGUAGGUAAGGUAAUGGCUUACCUAGGCGACGAUCCCUAGCUGGUCUGAGAGGAUGAUCAGACACAGUGUGACGGAGACCCGGCCCAGACUCCUACGGAGGCAGCAGUGGGGAAUAGUGCACGAAUGGCGCAAGCCUGAUGCAGCCAGGCCGCGUGUAAGAAGAAGGCCCUAGGGUUGUAAAGUACUUUCAGUCGGGAGGCGUUACCGGCAGAAGAAGCACCGGCUAACUCCGUGACAGCAGCCGCGGUAAUUC